rnacentral:rRNA from 1 species
UACGGAGGGGGCUAGCGUUGUUCGGAAUUACUGGGCGUAAAGCGUACGUAGGCGGUUUGUCGCGUCUGCUGUGAAAGACCGGGGCUCAACUCCGGUUCUGCAGUGGGUACGGGCAGACUAGAGUGCAGUAGGGGAGACUGGAAUUCCUGGUGUAGCGGUGAAAUGCGCAGAUAUCAGGAGGAACACCGGUGGCGAAGGCGGCUUGCUGGGCCAGUUCUGACGCUGAGGAGCGAAAGCGUGGGGAGCAAACAGG